GCGAAGAACCUUACCAGGUCUUGACAUCCUCUGAAAACCCUAGAGAUAGGGCUUCUCCUUCGGGAGCAGAGUGACAGGUGGUGCAUGGUUGUCGUCAGCUCGUGUCGUGAGAUGUUGGGUUAAGUCCCGCAACGAGCGCAACCCUUGAUCUUAGUUGCCAUCAUUAAGUUGGGCACUCUAAGGUGACUGCCGGUGACAAACCGGAGGAAGGUGGGGAUGACGUCAAAUCAUCAUGCCCCUUAUGACCUGGGCUACACACGUGCUACAAUGGACGGUACAAAGAGCUGCAAGACCGCGAGGUGGAGCUAAUCUCAUAAAACCGUUCUCAGUUCGGAUUGUAGGCUGCAACUCGCCUACAUGAAGCUGGAAUCGCUAGUAAUCG
rnacentral:rRNA from 2 species